rnacentral:rRNA from 1 species
AUUGAACGCUGGCGGCAGGCUUAACACAUGCAAGUCGAGCGGAGAUGAGGUGCUUGCACCUUAUCUUAGCGGCGGACGGAUGAGUAAUGCCUAGGAAUCUGCCUGGUAGUGGGGGACAACGUUUCGAAAGGAACGCUAAUACCGCAUACGUCCUACGGGAGAAAGUGGGGGAUCUUCGGACCUCACGCUAUCAGAUGAGCCUAGGUACGAUUAGCUAGUUGGUGAGGUAAAGGCUCACCAAGGCGACGAUCGUUAACUGGUCUGAGAGGAUGAUCAGUCACACUGGGACUGAGACACGGUCCAGACUCCUACGGGAGGCAGCAGUGGGGAAUAUUGGACAAUGGGCGAAAGCCUGAUCCAGCCAUGCCGCGUGUGUGAAGAAGGUCUUCGGAUUGUAAAGCACUUUAAGUUGGGAGGAAGGGCAGUAAGUUAAUACCUUGCUGUUUUGACGUUACCGACAGAAUAAGCACCGGCUAACUUCGUGCCAGCCGCCGCCGUAACAC